AACAAAUCGAUAUCAACCCCAAAACAGAUUAAUUCUCGAAAGAUUUAACCUGCUCUGAUACCAAGUUGAAUAUCAGAGUGCGCAACGAACAAGACUAACAAAAUAAGAAUAUUAUUAAAUAAACGAGAAUGCCGAAACGGCUACAAAAUCCUAAGAGACUACAUUGUGAAUAGCUUGUAUAUCAAAUGAAUAACAAGCAGACUAUUUAUAAUAAACUAACCCUAAUCCUAAAAGGUAAAAAAUCAAAACCCUAAUGCUAUCGGGCUAAGCUCAGAAAACUAAACAUUCAAAUAAACCUAAAUAUACUAUUAUUUUCCAACAGUUAGUCUCUUGCACUUGUUGGGCCUCUGUUGCCCACUAUAACUAUGAAAGUAAAUAAGAAAUAAAAAAUAAAAUAUAUGGCAGGGUAUGGAAGUUUUCAGUCAGAAGAAUCUUAUGGUUGAACAACACAAUCUUGGAAGCAGAAACAAUAUACACAUGUA
rnacentral:lncRNA from 1 species